CUAGACUUAAAUGCAUUUUAAAGAAACUAUCUAACUCAACUACAUGUCCGUUUGCGAUAAGAUACACUUACCAAUGAAAAGCCAAGAAAAGCAACACGUGUCGCAAAGAACGUUUGCUAUAUUGAGAGAAGACAGAGAAGAAAAGACAGCAAGCAGAGUUAAGCACCAAUUGCCAAAUAUAUCAUUGGGACUUCAUACAAAAGACUACGAAAAUGGAUUGCAAUGGAUCAGGAGAUACAAACAUUCAAAAUGAAAAAAUCCGCACUGAAAAAACCAAGCCAUCUAUUGAAAAAGAAGCAGAAACAAAACAAAACUGGGAAGGAAAAAGUUCACAAUUCGCAACAAAACGACGCGUGGCUAUUUGCGAUGCAACUGAUGAAGCAAAAGAAAGCCGUUGUCACAUGCGAGUUAUUAUGAAAAAGUUUUAACCUAACUAACGUCAUACCGUCCAUAAAGAAGUCAUAGUGAUAUUAAUAAUUCAAAUAUACAAACGUCAAACGAAAAACGUUUUAGUUGGAAAAAUGAAUGAAAUCAUUAAAUCUAUCUAAACUUUAAGUUUAAAUUAAAUAAUAAAUCCUACUUCAAUAA